rnacentral:lncRNA from 1 species
GGGGUCUGGCAGUGUAUAUGAUCGCUGGCUUCCUCUUGACGGCUAGCAGUCCUUCCUGUGUAUAAGUUCCGGUGCCGUUGCGCGAUGCUCGCUUAGCGAAGCAACCUUAGCAACGCUUUGUUACACUUACUGGGGAUGAUAGUCAGCUCAGCUCUCUGCAUGAGCUUUAUGAAGGCUUAGUUAGGUCAGUCGUGCAGAUUGUACAACUUAUCCAUAUGGAACCAGCUCACAAGAGGACGGACUGAACCAACCGGAAACUGUACUGUUCCACAACGGUCAUGCCCGCUGUCACGGAACGCAGAUGUCUGCAGCAUGCUCUGCGGAUGAGUAGUUGCACCUGGUCUUGGCAGGUUCUGUGUUUGGCAGAGUGCUUUGUUUGGUGGUGAUGGGCCGGACGUUACUGUUGCACG